AUGACACCAGGGUUCACCAAGUUUGGUGUGGAGAUAUUCGAUGGCACGGGUAACUUCAGUCUAUUACAGACAAGAGUCAAGAAUAUUCCGGCACAGCAGGGAAUCUUAAAGGGUUUGUAGGAGACGAAGCCGGCUAAGGUUGACAACGAUGCGUGGGAGGAUAUGCAAGUGCUGGCAGCCGCUACCAUAUGGCUUUGUCUUGCGGAUCUGGUCAUGUAUCAUGUCAUGGACGAAGAUUCUCCUAAGGAAAUUUGGGACAAGUUGGCAAGUCGUUAUAUGUCCAAGUCAGCGACCAAUAAGCUGUAUUUGAAGCAAAAGUUCUAUGGGCUGAAGAUGCAGGAGGGGUCGGAUCUUGUGGAGCAUGUGAAUGCCUUUAUCAAUUGGUCCCAGAUCUAG
rnacentral:rRNA from 1 species